GGCAGACGCCUGUUUUCCCAAAACCGUGCGCUGCUGACUGCAAAGGUUACUGAUAGCAUAAGCAGGCCAUUUGGCUUUAGCCAAUCAAGUAGAGUAUCAUGUGGUAUCCAAGUGGAUGACAGCUGUAAUCUCGACCAAAGAGGACCAAUGAGAGGCUGCCACGUGGCAAGGAAGCACCCUUUGCUUGCAUAUAAAAGGAGAGCAGCUCACCCCAUUCAAAUGCAUCAUCUCAUUCUCAUUCUCCUUCUCUCCCUCUCCCUUUUCCUUCUUCCUCUCCUCUCUCUAAUCCAUCUCAGAUCUGAGAAUUUCUAUAUUCAGUUGCUAACUGAUCUUCAUCAACCAACUUUCUUGUUAAGCUGAUCUGCAAAAGUCCAAUCUGCAGCAAGCUGAUCCGGAAGAAGAUCAGAUAAUCAUUAAUUUUCUUCAGCAAGCUAUGAUCUUCUUCAGCACAGUAUUAUCAAAUCUGCAAGCAGCAAUCAUCUUCUCAUGGCAACUGAUCUUCAACAAGCAGCCCUCCAGCUGAUCUCCAUCUUCUUCUUCAAACCGUCAUCUUCAUCUUCUUCUUCUAAUUUACUUAUUUCCUCUUCUUCAAAUCCACAUUUACUUCAUCAGCUUUUUGUGCUAAUUUCUUGGAGUUCCAGAUCAUGAUCGCUUGAGAUUGCAGAUUGCCUAUCGUUCAGAUCGCAGUACAGAUGAGUUCAGAUCUGCUCAUCUUUACUUCAGAUGUAGAUCAUUUCAGCUCAUCUCCAGAUUAGAUCACAUCUCUCAUUCACAACAGAUCAGCGUUUCCUAUUCACAGCAGAUCGCAUCUCAGAUUGUGAUCUUAUUACACCUCAGUUCAGCUGACUGUAGUUCAGAUCACAGCUUAGAUUAUUAUCAGAUUACACAGCAAGUUAAUAGCAGAUUUCAGCACUUGUUCAGAGUUUAUUCAACUCUCGUCUCAUAGCAGAUUCAACUCUCUUCAUGACAGAUUUCUGUUGUUUCUUAAUCAUAGAUUCUUGCUGUACUUGAACUACAAGUACUGCUAUGUUUUAGCUGCUAUACUGCUGUCCAUCUCAUUUAAUCAGCAACUGCUUGUUGAAUCUAACAAACAACUAUCUAUUUGAUCUGAUCAGCAACCAUCCACCUAUAGCCCAUUUAACUAUAUUGCUGGCCAUUCAUUUACAGCUUGCUGUCCAUACCUCGCCGCCCAUGCAUUGCUGCCCAGUUAAGUAGCUAGAAGUCUGGUUAAUCAGCUAACAGUUAAUUAACUAACUAGCAGUCCAUGUGCUGCUGUACAAUCGAUACACUAGCUAUUACCAUUGAUAUUCAAGCUGUCCAUAGCAUUCCAAAUAUCAUAGCUCCUGUCCAUUAAGCAUAGUUGCUGACCUAAGGACAUCACUUUGUUUUCAACAAUGUUGUAAAAUCGCACAAGUGAUUGUAUGUCAUCCAACCUGUGUGAUUGCUUAUGCAAUUGCACAAUCGCAUAAGUGAUCGCACAGCCUUUAAAAAAAGAAUAAUAAUAAAAUAAAAUAAAA